GUUGCUUCACGACUGGAAGAAUGGCCUGAUUUUUUUUGUUUGGUCAUUCUGUAGAGAGAAGCAUAGAUUGAACAAGCAGCCAGAAUUAAACAGCAUGAUGCCUUGUUUCGCUGCAUCCAUGUUACCUGUCUCCUGGCACAUUU